UAAAUGAAUUAAUACAUGUAAAACAGUUAGAAGAGGGCCUGUCAUUUAGUUAGAACUCCAUACAUUAUCAGUUUUAUUACCAAAUUUCAUCACUUUAAAACAUUUUUUUUUGCCUUUUUGCAAUAUCUCUGAAGUUGGGAUGGUAUCUUAGUCUGUUUAAUCUACUAUAACAAAAUACAAUAGGGUGGCUUAUAAACAACAGCAACUCAGAUCUCACAGUUCUGGAGGCUGGGAAGGCCAAGAUCAAGGCACUGGCAGAUUCAGAGUAAGGGCCUGCCUCCUCACAGACAACUUUCUUCUCACUAUAACCUCACAUGGCAGAAGGAGCGGAAAGAAGGGGCAUAUGCAAUCUCUUUUAUAAGGACACUAAUCUCAGGGGGACUCUGCCUUCAUGAUGUAAUCACCUUCCAAAGGCUCCACCUCAAAUUGGGCAGAAGGAUCUAACAUGAAUUUGGGAUACACAAAAAUUUAGAUUAGAGCAGAUGGUGCGCCAUAAAUUCAUUGGUAGCAUGUUUUUCCUUCUUAGUGGUACAUUAAAUAACAGUGUUUUCAACAACUGAUAUUGUCUUUGAUUCAAUAAAAUACAUUAUUAUUAUUACUUGGCCCAUUAUUUUUGAAUAUUUUGCUAUAUUUUUGUUUUCCACAAAUGAUUACCUUUCAUUUUAUAAACUGAUAGUCAAAUACAUAUACCUUAUAUAUUAUUUUUACAAAUCAAAGUACCACCCCCUUCUACUCCCAUAAGAUCUGUCAGGGUGAAAGAUAUUGUGGAUAAUCAGGGUUUUAGGUAAUAUAUAGCCAUUUACUAUACCUUGGGAAAUGUUUGAUAAGGAGUUGAAAUAAACAACAGAUUAAUCAGAAGAGAGACUUCAAGGCAGGGAGAUAUAAAGAAGACAAGAUAUGGUGUUGAAUAAUAACUCUUAUAAAAUAUAUAGAAGCUUUCUUAAUCAAUAUUCACAUAAUCAGCUUAUUGGAUUUACCCAUAGUCUCCAUUCCCUUGAACAUCUGUAGUGGAAACUUUGAGUACAUGAAUCUGUAGCAGUUAGGAUUCUUUGGUUGCAAGUAACAGAAACCAAAUUCUUUCUUGCUGACUUAAGCAAAAUGGGAGAUUUUUGAAAGGCAAUAGGACAGCAAAAGAAAUAGGCUCAGAGACCAAACUCAGAAAUGGCUGGAGCACCAGGCUUUGCACCAGGGAAACUUUAUGAAUCUUUAUGGUGUCAGGAAUACCCAGCUUUCUUUUCUGGGAGCUACUCCUGGUCAAAAUGGGUCUACUCUUUUUCAAUCUGUUUAUCUUUCUGGUUGAGGCCGAAAGUGUAGGGAGGGAGCCUAUAGAUCCCCAGGUCAUGUACCUGCUCCUUGACUGAGGGAGAGCAGCGCACCUUCAUCAAAGUCCUACCAGACCAUCUCCAAGGGAAGAGGCAAAUCCCCAGAAGGAACUAAGCACUGUUACCAAAGGAAUGUAGAAUGGACACUGUCCUGCCAAAAUAACCAACAAAUGACCACUACCAAUGUAAACAACAACAGCAACUAGCACUUGGUCCUUCCAUCAUGCUAAAUUCCACAACCGGUAGGAAAGUCCAUUGUAAAAUGGAAAGAGCCAUAAACACAGCUUUUGUACUUGUACUCCAGAAGACAUCCUACCUGGAAUAGAAGAACUUGAGGGCAGCACGAGUGGGGCAAAUCUUAUCCAACUCAGCCUGCAUCCCAGAAAGAGUGAAUGCACAGGCCGCAAAGAAAGGCACUUCCCGAGGCACCCCCAGCUUUUGCCUUUAUCCUUGAUGUGCCUACUCAGCUAUUAGUGCUGCGUGAUCCUACAGGUCAAUCUCAUUAGCUCAUCUUCAAAAUACUUGAAUUUGUUUCCAUGCACAAGAUUAAUCCUAGCUGGUAGCUUGACUUAUACAUUAGAUGACUCACCAUGUGCAUGCCAACAAUCUUAGCUUUUCUCACAGUUGCAUGAGUCAACUUGCUUCUGUUAACUUGGGCGAAUGAUAGUUCUCCUUGUUUCCAUCACCUGGCUUUUUUGGUGUUUUGUUCUGCCCCCAAGUGCCACUUUCUCCUUCCUGACUCACCUGUAUCUCCUUGCCUUUGCAUUUGCUGUCCUACUGAUUCCACAAACAAUGCCCACUUAGGGGCACAUGUCCCUGCCAUGGAGAAAAACAAAACAAAGCACAGCUGCUGAGCUUGUCACCUGCUUUCUUGGUAGGAGCAAGAUGUUAUUUUCUGCAAAGGCAGUUGUGGCAAGAAGCCCAUCCCUUAGCCUUAGCAGGAGCAGAGCGGGGACUAAAGCUUCAUGUGAAUCUAAUCUGCAAAAAUCCCAGGGUGGAGUCUUUCUGGUUUCCAUCUGCCAUCUUUUAAAUGGUGUAUCUUAUUAUUACUGUACUUACCAAGAGUUAUCUUUUCCACUCUGGUUUAAAUACAAUGUUAAAGACAUUUAGAGAAGAACCAGUAAUUUAAAGGAAAGUUGCUAAGCCAAUAUUUUUGUAUGAAUUUGGGUAUAGAAGACUGAGGGAAACUAGAAAAUGGAUGUUCAAUAUAGCAUUUCAACAUAGGGUUAGAUGAUAUUACUUUAUGUUUUUGCUUAUUCACGUGUGAGUGCAUAUUACGUAUGGAGUUCUGUUUUAAUGGCUGACCCUGCACAGAGGUCGGUCUGAGAGCGCCAAAAAACACUUAGGUCUGAACAAUUUGCCUUGUCUCAACUUGCACUCUGCAACCCCACUUACUUCCCAUCCUUCUGGCUCCUGAGCUCUGGUUUUUCCAUUUGUUGACCUUGCCUCGCUCCCUGGAUCUCACACCUGGCACCAGUUUUCUGCUUACAGCGUUUUACUGCCUUUCUUGAUGAGAGCUUAGAUUUUCCUUCUGGCCUUCCUUUCCUCUGCCAUUGGCUCAGCCCUCAGCAACUUUACCAUCUCCUCUUUGACAAAGGACAGCUAUAAACAACUCUGUGAGCAGAACCCAGACAUUUAAGGGAAAAAGAAAACCAGAAUGAAGAAUGUAUGGUUUAUUUGAGGAAAUAGGCCCUGCGUAUAUUGACAAACACGGUUUGAAACACACAAAAAGCAUUCAGAGAUAGAGCACUGUCAAAAGCCUAACUUUUGGAAAUAAUUUUAUAGGCCAAGGGUGAUAAACAAGAUCUAUCUUCCAUGCCAAUUCUAAUCGGUUGGUAGUGCCAAUUGUGGGAAAGGAUUCUAAAGCUUCAUCUGCAUUGAGCUGGAAAGAGUAUCUUGAUCAAUUACUGAGAUCGACCUUGAGCAAGGCAACAUGCGUUUGCUUGUUGCUACCCCUGCUGUGACAAAUGGCCCACCCUUUUGAAAUUUUUAAGUAGGAGAGUUUUUAAAAAUGAAAUCACUAUUUUAAGGAGAUUAAUUUGGCUUUGCACAGAAUGAUUGAGAGGAAGAGAAGAUGUUUCCAGAGACACAAGUUGAAAGGCUCUUACUGUCUUGUUAAAUGACAAAGUGGCUAAACACAGCUCCCAAAAGAUGGGGAGAAAGAUGACAUAAAUUGGAAGAGCACUGUUCUCUGGGGAGUGAGGCUGAACCAAUGUCAGUGGGAAUUAGCUGGACCUGGGAAGGAUGUCGCAGUGGCGGAAGCAGUGAUUUCUUAUCCCUCCUGACAGGGGGCCAACAAGGAAGAAUGUUGGUUCCCCAUCCCCAGUCCAAUGCCAAAUAGGCAUCAGUAUUGAGAGCAGCAGAAAACUAUGUCCUAUGCCACUUGCCAAUGGGAAGAGCUAUCCUCCGUCCUUUCCCGCCAAGCCCCAGCAGGUGGAAGAUGACCAGUGUGGAUUCUGGGUUGGGCAAAACCAGACUGAUGAGUGUCUGUAUCUGGAUGUCAAUCACUGUGAAUAUAGGAAGAAACAGAUGGAUAAAAAUAUUUUAAGAAGUAAAAUAGAAUUGAUUAUAAGAAUAAAAUAAAUAGGAUUCUGUGAGUAACUAAAAAAGAAUUAGGAAAAGUGGAAGUGACUCUACAGUUUCAGAUAUGGGAAAAUGGGGAAUGUAAGAGAUUUACAGAGGAAGUUAAAGUGUGGCAGAGAGUUUCUCUAAUAUAUGUCUUCUUUUUUCCCAUAGAACCAGAACUGCAGACUUUUAGCUGAGCAUAUUACAUCUCAGAAUAAAGAUUGCAUUUCCAGGCUUCCUUUCGGCUCAGUGCCUGUGUAAAGCAGGUGGGUCCUGACAAUGAGAGAUUGGUAAGCAUGGAGGCAACCUGAACCAGGUUGUAGACCAGGAAGACCCAUGAGCAUUUGGAACAAGAGGUGGGGACCAGCAGGAGGCAACAUAAGCUCAGAAAGACCAAAUACAACUUUUUGUUUUGAUUGUGACUACAGACAGAACUCCCAGCUUGUUUAGAAAUCCCCCUCUUCUGGGUGGCCAAGUGCAGCGGAGUCUCCUUGAGGGCUUCUAGAAAUGUUUCCUCCUGCAUAAGUGAAGCACACAAGAAGAGAUGGCCUUUUCCACCUCUGGACUUUGUGAAGACCAGAUAUGACACCAGGAAUGGAUGUGGUUAUCAGUCUACCAGCCUGAUGAAGUUAUCACAUGGGUGAGUUUAAGGCUAAGAGGUGCAGAAAGAAGUAGAGCCAGAGCCUUGGUGGGCUGUUCUGGAGCCUGCCCCUACAAGGAACCUGUGGUUAGGUGCAACAGUAAGCCAAUUUUAGUCACGGUUUUCUCAUAGCCAACAGUAUCCUGACUGAUAUUUGAGUCAGGCCAGAGGCAGGGAGACUGGUGAGGCAACCAUUGUGGUAAUCCAAGCAAAUAUGAUGGUGAAUUGGCCUCAGGCAGUGGCCAUGGGAAUGAAGAGAAGUAGGCAGAUCCAGGAGACAGGGGAAGGCUCCAUAAAACAUGGUGCUUGAUAUGGACAUGGGGUGAUGAGACAGGGUGGAGUUUAGGAAUUCCCUCAAUCACAUUUUCCUCUUGACUUCCAUGAUAAAUUCAGAUGUAUUCUUGUAAUACAGAGCCUUUUUUCAAUGUCAAUUUAGACUCAAGAAGCUCUUCUGCUCCUUCCAAGAAGUCUCCAACUGAGACUGCAAUGCCACAGAGACAAACCUCCCAGGGGAGAGUGGUAAAAAGAAAGAUGCCAGCAGCAGGCUCUCCCUUUGUUUCCAUCCGGUUCCUUUUCUUUUCUGUGUUUAUGAGCAGUCAUGGCAGUUUAAUUCUGAAUUUAUCUUAUUAGCCCAUUCUGGGCUGAAAAGAUAUCCUCCCACCUACUGACCUCUUUGGAGACUACCGCAUGAGUCCAAUCCUGAAGAAAGCACCAUAUCCCAAAGCCUAAAGAUCAAUGGUCUCCUACCAGCCCUGUUUUGAAAACAAACCAGGGCUAGAUCUUGUCUAGGUCCAGGCAGAACCCCAGGGCUGGACUUUCUUUCACAGUCUUUGCUGUUUCUUUCACCCAACACUAUCUUCAGUGGAGUCUGUGUCUUUCAUUUGCCAGGCUGGGGCUCUCUUUCAUCAUUGCUGCCAUAGAGAAGCCUUAAGGGAAGCCUUGAUGCUUCCAUAUAAAAGCGCACUAUUGUCUUGUGGCUGGAGACAUCCCACCUGCCUUUACAGAUCCACUCUCCACCUUUCUUUCCCUGUGUGGGAUGCAUGAGGCUGACGCAUGAGGUAUCGAUAGGCUCAUGUUCCCUGUGGCUUCCAGCUGGGCUGGGCCAAUUGCAAACAAGAGAUCAGAGGGAGACAGUACAUGGAAGCAAGGGUCUUUAUUCCUUUAGCAACUCCAGUUGGGGACUCUGCAGAUGGGCUGCAUUCCUUGCACAAAGAUUCUAGCUCCUUUAAGGCAGGCUUCUACCCACAGCCCUCUUAAUCUUGGGGUUUUAGUAACUGCUCUCUCCCCUCGCUCCUUCAGGCCUAGGGUGGAGAGCAGUACCUAGCUAUCCAUGAACAACUACACUCUCCCUUGUGGCUUCUCUAUACCCUGCCCAUAACUUUGAAAACAAUUCCUUUAUUUAACUCUACUCAAAGUAUCCCAAUUUGAGUAUACCAUCUCUUUCCUGCCAGGAUCCUGGCUACUCCUAGCCAGUCCAAGGGGUUUGGAAGUCAUCCUAUCUUUUCCGUUGACCUUUCACAUCUCAUCCAAUGUUUUUUAUUGUGAUUGUUUAGGAAAUUUGAAAAGACAAGACUAAAUAUGUAAGGAGCAUGAUGAAAAUCUGACCCCAAGAAGGAAUAUGGAAAGGAAGGUUAGAUGGAAGCAUUCUAGACUGCUAGGCAAUCUAGAAGAGGUUUGGCAAGGCUGCUGGGGAGUUCUCAAGCCAAUAUCACCCAUCAGAGGAGUCUUGUGUUUCCCAGGAAUGGGCCUGCCUUAGUAUUCCUGUUGUGCUCAGUCACUGACUGGGAGCAACCCACUGAGGUGUGGCCUUUGUGCAAAUAUGACAAUAGAUUACAGAGCACAGCUACUUCCCUGUGGUUGGAAGUCUGUGAGACACAUUCUCACGGCUACUAUAUUCAUGCCAUAAACAUUUUUAGCACCACUCCCACCUCCUAUCACUAACACCCUAUUUUUACCUUGCUGUAGCUAUUUCUUCCUCAAAGAGGGUUAUAUUAAAGUUCCAAAUGUGCUUUCUCAGUUAAAGGGCAAUACCAGGAUGCCCCACUGUGGAAAGGUUGGCCGGCCGUCUCCCAGAUGGCCUGACAGGGUAUCAUUUAUUAUCUUACAAAUUGAUAAUCAUCAGUAGUCAGAUAAUUAGCCUGGUAAGCUCAGACCUGACUUUGUCAGCACACCAUGCAGUGCAUCUCUCAGGGCAGGCUCAUGCUAACUACAUUCAAAAGGCUAAUAUAAAACAUCAGAAUGCCAAGUUAUUCACUUUUCGUAAGAAACCAUCUUUAGAAGGACAAGAAUAUCUGAAGUUUCUGGGAUCAAAACAUUCUUUCCCUGUAGGAGCUAAACAGUAAUCAGGAGAUUACUUGUUGAGUGUGACAUCAGAUUAAAGGGAAUUGGAUAAGCCAAAGGUUUGCAGUAGCAAAGUAAGCUACUCGGUACAUCAUUCAUGCCACACAGAGAUGGUCUUAUGGACAGAAUGUGAAUGCACAAACACAAGAGCUAUUAUACCCCUGUAGAUACAUUUACCCACUGGGAGUGGCAUUGCACCCUCAAAAUCCAUUGGCUAAGACUUCUUUUCUUUUGGGAAGGGUUUGAAUGACCACCAAUAUUUGUCUCUGUGUCUGUCUUUUUUCUCUGUUUCCACAGUUGCCCAUCCCAACCACUGCCUCCCUUGCACCACCGUCCUCCCACUCCCAGUCAGUCCAAGGGCUUUGGAAGUCAUCCUGUUUUUUUCCAUUGACCUUUCACAUUUAGUCCAAUACUACAGUUAUUACAGUUAAACACUUAAAAAUGUCAGUCCUGUUUCCCCCAUUUCCAAAUUUUGGAGGCCCUUAAACAUGAACAAUAGUCAAAUACUAUCAACAAAGUUUAUUUUUCUUUUCAGGGUCUUGAGCUGAAAAAGGGAGCCUCAUGAUAUAUUCCUGGGUUCACUUGGUUUUCAUCCCUGGUAAAACAUACCCUUCAACUACGUUUCCUUUCACCACAAAUGGAGUCUCAGUGGUUGCUUUUGCCAGGGCCAUGGUGAGCAGAGCAGAAGAGCCAUCUGCAAACCCUAGCCCUCUCCAAUUGACUGCCUGUUGGAAGCGGGAGUGUAGUUGACCGCAUCUAGCUAUAUACAAAGCCAAGUAAUUCUGCAGGCAAACUUCGGCCUCCAUGGAGCCUGCCCAGCCAACCUCGCAAGGAGAGAAAUUCCUUCUUUCAGUUUGGAAAAUGGUCCCAGUUAUGCUGCCAAACUCUCCUGAGGCAUAUGUAAACGUAGAAACACAUACUUUGUGGUCUUCCUCUGGUCAGGCUGUCCUCCUUGGCCUUAGCUUACAUUGCUCUGGUAAUGUCCUUAAUACACUUCACCAGACUACUCUGCAACCAAUUGGUUAACGCUGUGCAACGGAGUCUCCCAUUCUACUUUGUGAGAAGGCAGCAAAUGAGCCUUGCCCCCAUGUCCCAGCAUGGUAUUUACAUGCCUAUUACAAGUCCACAUGGCCAGCUGGAGGGACAUUUCCCAGCCCCUUGUCUUUGCCUUCUCAGACUAACAACCAGAGAAGCCACAAGACUCAUUUGUUUUUGGUCAAAUGUGGGUAGGGCAGGGAUUAAGUCCUGAGAGUCAGGAAAUCCAAUUUUUAGGCUGAUCUUGUCCUGGACUAACUCAGCAGCUCUCAACAAAACACUUAAUCCUUCUGGAAUGCAGUUGCCUCCUCCUUUUAAAAUGGUAAUGUACCAUUUGGCCUCACUCAUCUCUAGGAACUCUUAAGAGGUAAAAACGUGAUAAUGGAUGUGAAAGUGCCACAAGAGAUGUAGAAGAUAUAUAAGGAACUCUGCCAACCAAAGGACUGUAUUUGAUAUGGUACUUUUUAAAAUAAAACAAAAAUGUC